CCACUCGUCUCUAACCACCUCCACCAAUUUUGACCGUUUCCGGCCACAUCCACCACCUCCUCUAGACACCUUCUCUCUCUUUCUCUCUCUCAUCAUCUCCAUCUCUUUCUUUUCAAAACUAAAAAAAUGGCCUACAAGUGAACAAUGCCUCCCCACAAAAUCUAGGAUAGGGGCCCAAAUAUUGGAACACUGGACUGAGAUUUUGUAUUUUCACUCCCUAAUCUGUCUAAAGAGUGAGUUUAUGGAUUCUCUUGGAAUUGCUCUAACCCCUUAACCUUAUUCUUGGUCAAUUAACUAUACCCUUGGUUACUACAUAUAAACCUUAAAAGCCCCUAUUUUUACCACCCUUGCUGCCUCUAAACAUAAUAUUUUUGCUUCCCUAAAAAUGGAGCUCUUGCUGCACCAUAUCAGUUUUGGGCUGACUACAAGCCGAAGAGUCCUCCCGGCACUUGUACUACAUAAGUGAAUACAGAUUCAUAAUCAUUAUAAAAUUUUGUUUGCUCAUCUCAAUUUAUUCAAGCAUACGAAAUGUAUACGAAAUGUAGUGAUGACUCCGGAAAAAAUGACAUCAGAACUAGUCAUAAUAGAUAACAUGGCUUAGUGAACAAAUCGAAUAGCGAAUUCAUUAUGCUUUUAAACUACAUUCAAUUGAAAGUAGAAAAGGCCAUAGGACAAUGAAGAAGAAGAUGAUUCACAAAUCCUACAUCAUGUUAGCACUUCAAAACCAAUUCAUUAUAAUCUUCCUUAUCCGUGUCAAGUUGCCAACAGUGAGGAUCUUUGACUAGGGCACGUCCCCCAAAUAGGCCUCCCAAAGGGGCCUUGCCGACCCUUAAGAGCUGACUUGAUUGGGAAUUAACCCGAAGGAUCAUACUAUUGCAUGACUUGUUGGGAGUUAUGAGUUUCAAUAGCUAGGACCCCCUGUCCAGAAGCCCUCCCACAAUGACAGCUCCUCCCUUUUUAUCAGUAGGUCUUUUGACCAUCUUCACUGGUGAUCUCCAUUUAUCCUACACUAGUUAACCAUCCACAUCAAGUAAGGAUAUUUCUAAGGGAUAAUUGGUCAAAAAUACCUUAAAAUAGUUUUAUUUUAGUAUAAAAAUUACUUAUAAAAGAUGCUUAAAGCUAAGAUUCAUAUAUGUUAUUUGAGGUUGAGAAGAAAAAUUGGCCCCAUGGACCUUAGCUUUAAACAUCUUUUAAUUAUCUUUAUACUAUAAUGAAAUUAUUUUGAAAAUUUUUUGACCAAAUUACCUCUAUUUUCCAAAACACAACUCUCAAUAAGAUUGAGAUAAGAAGCAUCUAUUCCCAGCUGCCCGAGCUACACCAAGUUUCAACAGUUGUACCAUUGUUAUUAUACAUACGCCUUUUUCCCCUUUUUCUUUUUUCCUCUUUUCCCUUUCGCAUGAUAAAUCCCUCCACAAAUUCCUUAAAACACAGCCUUUCUUGGUAGCGUGCACUUCAGAAAUCAUGAGGAAGAUACACAUGGAAACACGUGUAUGAACACGUACAACUAUAAAGGAACUUUCAGAAUAGUGACAUAACAAUUAACAGGAUGUAACCAUUACCUAAGCAGGAAAACUAUGUCUCCUAAUUUUAUUUUAUUUAUGUAAUUCUUGUAGACAAAACAGAAAUGGAACACAUACUCUUUUUUAGCUAAUUGUAAGGGAGUAAAAUAUACAAUGACAUAGUCUGGUCUUGUUAAGAAAGAGGCCUCCGCCGAGAUAUUGCUAUGAAAGUAAGUUCGAUGGUCCUCUGUGGUGCUCAGUAUAGACACAGUCGAACACAUGCAUUGUCCGAGGUAAGGCUAUCGUUACUUCUUGAGCUAUGCUUAGUUAGAAAGUUUGGAAGAAUAGCUGCGCAGAGCAUUGGACAAGGGCAAACGACGGCAACAAUCCGAGGGAUGUUAGAGGACCAAAGGUAAUUACAACGUCAAAGUUUCUUCGAACAGCCCCAUGUCUGGGACGAAGACUGACCACAUGAUGAACGUUACCAGCCAAGCCAUACAAAGCGUGGGGAGUUCAGCUGCCUACUCACCCAAAUACAGCAGACAGCGUGUUCGAGCAAGAACCGCAAGUCAUCAAUGACAAGACAGUAGCGCACUCCAAGGCAAUGCACCGAGCAUGUUUGUCAUAUAAAUUCAGCCUUUAUUUAUCGAAAAAUGUACAUGAAUUCAAUCCUAGAAGACAUAUACAUCUCUAUGGCAUAUGUUUUUCGGUCAUUUAACUUGACCUUCGUAGAAGCCAUUUUUUAAACAAACAGCCCAGCAGCCGAUCGCACUGUUUAUGUGCUUACAAACAUAGAUCCUUGCCAACUAAUAACUGACUACAGCAACCGCACCAUCGUAAGAUCACUGUAAGUGGCCUAUCCUUAAUUUUCUUCCUUCAUUUUUAUAACCCAUAACACAAUCAUUUUUUUCCACAAGGCAAAAAAAAACUCUAAUGGAACCUCAAUGUAAACGAUGAGGGAGAGGGGUUUCUUCCAAAACACCAGAGAGCAAUGGUUUUUCAAAUAACACAAACCAGCAAAUGAUUGUUUCAUCUACCACUAAAUAAAGAUUAGCUUAGUUUAGCAAUAAAAGUUUGACUAAAACACUAUCAAAGAUGAUUUUUAUGUCAAUAAAAAUACUCCUUUGAUUGAAUUAUAUUCCGUUAAAAGGCCGAGAAAUCAAAACGAAACACCAGAGGGGCAAGGAGCAAAAAACAAAGAUCCAAAACCCUGUGCCAAAGAGAGAGAGAGAUCAUGAUUCAACAAAGCAAUCUUUCAAAGGAUAAAAAACAAACAAAUGCAACUGAUAACCGUAACAUACCAAGAAGAAGGAUGCAACAGCUGCGGUUGCGAGCUCCUUGUCCAAGCAGCGGUUUUUCCUCGAAGAGGUUGCUUCAUAGCUGCAACACAAAUUAUCGUCGUUCAAAAACGCAACUUAUGAGUUUUGAAAAGUGGAGAAAUGUGUAAACGGACACACUUUGAAGUUGUGUGUGGAUCAAAGAUUUGAGGAACUUCUUUCUAUUACCAUUUCUUUUCAGUUCACAAUUCCAAGAUCCAACACAAUUUUUUUAUAUUUUGGAAUUGAAGGGCUCAACAAGGCCUCUCAAAUUCAAUGACUUGUACAAACUUGAUGCAAACUACACGAGCUCUGUGUUUACAUGAACUCGGUUAUGGUACGGGGUGCGGUCGUGCCGUCCAACGUGUCAAACCUUUCUAAACUUAAAUUUUAGAAUAUUAUGAUAUGUGUCCAAAAAUGAGCAUGUCAUGAUUUUUGGUUUUGAUAAAAAGAGUAUUGUCUAUUUUUCCUCUUGUAAAACCAUUGUCAUUCAAUAAUUUGUUUAGCCUAUAUCAUACUCUUGAUGCUUGCUUCAAACCAUAAAGAACUUUGGACAAUUUAAAUACGUAGUUUGGAAAAUCAUGAGUUUUUAACCUGGGAGGUGGUACAACAUACACUUCUUCCGUAAUGUGUCAAUUUAAGAAUGCACUUUUAACAUCCAUUUGAUAGAGUUUAAAGUCCAUGUAUCAUGAAAAUGCAAGUAACAUUCAGAUGGCUUCUAAUCGUGCUACCAGAGCAGAUGAUUAAUCAAAGUUAAUGCCUUUCUCUUGGACUAUAUCCUUCGGGAAAAACAAGUCUAACUUUAAUUCUAAUAAUGAUUUCGAAUUCAUCGCAAAUUAUUUCUAAAUCCCCAUUUAGUACAUAUUUAUAGAAUGAUCACUAGGUCUAGGUACUGAGGUUCACUUUAUUUCUUUCAAAUUAAGUAACCUCUUCUUGUAUUGCUAAUACGCAAUGUUCGUCAAAUCACUUCAUAAAAAUUUAGAUUCGAUUUGAAAUAAGAAAUGCAAAUGGGUACCACAAAUAUUUCUAAUAGAUGGUCUAGUGGUUACCCUUUUUAGGAUCUCAAUAAGGAGAAUUUGUUGGGUGGGUUGUGGGAACUCUAUUUCUUGAAGGCUGAGUUGUUACCACCUUGCUCUGCAAUUCAUUGAGGUAAAAUCACCUCUGGUUGAAGCCUUUCUCAAAAAAAAAAUCUUGAGGCUUCCCAUUUUCUUAAGCUAUCUUUAAGUUUUUGUACUUUCUAUUUUCUCGUCACGAUUUCGAGCAAUAUACUUUUAAAAAAAAAAGUAUAGAAUUCAUAAAAUGCAAUUAUCGAGUGAGGAGGAUGGUGGAGGAUCUCCGCGUGAACAAGAAGUAGGGUUGUGCAAAUAUUCGAUUCCACCAGUCAACCCGGACCGACCUGAACCUAUUCAAACGAAUCCGACCAACUCGGACUCACUAUACGGGUGAAUAACGGAUAGGAUCUUUAACUAAACCCGACAUAUCGGUUUGGGGGUGUCAGGUCAUUCAAUCGCCCAACCCGGACAAAAAAUAUACUUAGAAUUCACAAUUUUCACCCAACCCAUAAAAUUUUACCCGAAGCGACCCCAACUCGACCAUCUAUUGGAUCGGAUCGGGCUAAAUUUCUCCAAUCUUACCCAGUUGGAUCAGGUGUCGGGUGACUCCAAACCCGACCCGCCCGAUCGACACAUGAACGGAUCUACAAGAGUGGUCGGCAGCUUUUUAAAACACGUCACUGUUGAUCCUUGACAUCCCAAUUCCACAGGCAAUAUCAAAGUGACAAGGUUUUCUUACUGUUUUUUGUUUUCUUUCUUUAAUGGAAGCCACCUUCUUUGACUUUGUUUCUUUAUUUUAUUCAAAGUAACCUUUCACACUUCUCCAUUUAAAAUUCGUGGAGGAAAAGUGGUUAAGGUGAAGGCCCACCCGAUACCCGAGCAUCCGGGUCGGGUUGGGUGGCUCUUGUUGGGGAUGCGGCGGGUACGCGACCAAAUGUUCCGGGGAGGGAACAUAUUUUGUGACCAAGAGCGAUCGGAUGUGUUGGAAAUUUAACUGUAUGACGAUGUCUUCAAAUACAGUAAAUAUUGUAUAUUUCGAGGUACGUUACUAUAUUUUUUUCUUAAUAACAGUAUUUGCCCUUACUAAAUGAUGUGCACGAGUUACAAUAAAUCUGCUUUCAAGAUAUAAUGAA
rnacentral:lncRNA from 1 species